UCUUUUCCACCCGACGCCCCCCGUCCCCUCCACCCCUCACCCACCGACACCCUUCCCUAAUACCCACCUCUACCACCAAGCAUUUUCUCCUUCCCCAAAAACCUACCACCAAGCACACAUCCAGAUGGGUCAAAUACCCCAAAGCAAGCAGUCUUUGGAUUUUGUUUUUUCACAUUGAAUUCACCAAACCCUUUUUCUGGCUUUCCCAAAAUUUUAUAACAUUAUAGUCUCUGAUUUGUGCAAUAAUUCCUCAAGAUCUGCAAUUCAAGGCACAAGCUUUUCUCUAUUGGCUCUCUUUCUCUUACUCUGCCUGUGUGGAGAGGAACAAAAGUAAAGACAUGGAGGUGGGGCAGAUGCAGAGACAGUGGGUUGACUACACAAAAUCCUUGUUCCUGGAGGUAAAAGCAACAGAAAAAAUGUGAAAUUUAAGCAUAAAUCACAGAUGGGGUUGUUUUGAUUUUCUUGUUUUUGCUUGUUUUGUUCCUGAUGUUUUUGUUUUUUGGGAUUUUUUUAUUGGUUGGGUGAGAGAAUGGGUUUCUGGAUGGUUAGUUUUUGCAGCUCCAACAGCUGCAGGAUGAGAGCAACCCAGAUUUUGUUGUUCAAGUGUGGUGUCUCUUUUCUUUGAAGAUUCUAAGAAGCUUCUUAAUGAUCUCACCAGAGCUCUAUACUUUUAAGGAGUGCAUAAUUUCCCUUUUUUUGUUUGCACAAAGAACAACCAACUGUAGACUUCAAAAGGGUUGAUGCCCAUGUUCACCAGUUCAAGGGUAGUAGCUCCUCCAGCAUCAAAGAGAGAGGAAAUAUGGCAGAGGAGUUAGCGCUGGAUUUGGAAGAGCUCGGCCACCUCCAGAGCAUCGUGAAACGCCACCAUAUAUAUCAUCAACCACCUCAACCGUCUUUCCCAACACCUUCUCUCUUCGGAAAAGGAGCCAUCAUCGCUGCCACCGCCACCACAAUCUUCUCAAUUAACCAAGGGCCACCAGUGCAAAGAGUUGAAGUCCACCGUCAGGCCUCAAAAUGUGGCGAGGAGAGAAGGCGCCAAGCUAGAGAAGACGAAUGAUAAAUCAAACCCUAAUAAGCACCGCAAUGAAUUCUCUGCUUCGAUGACGAUCGUUCAGUACGUACAGGAGUCUGGAGCCCGCCUCAACAAGGGGGAGCAUAGAGAGGACAUCACAGUAUCCUUGUAUGGUAUUCAAGAUUAAACAUGGUAAAAAAGAACCGACACACAACUGACCUAACCCAAUAUGUGACGUCGAUUGAUAAUUUCAAUAUGUUUUUGUUGAAUUAAGUAAUAAUUUAGUAUCCCCCCUCAAUUAGGGCAAAUACUGAACAAAAUGCCGUCCUCCGAUUCCAAGCAUUUCUUUUAUGAUUUACGGGGUCGUAGCUCUAAAGUCCAAAUUGUGGCUGAUCCUAGAAAUUUAGAGAUGGAUGAAUAUGAAUUUUCUAAAUUUUAUUCCUGUAUAAGGCCUGGCGAUUUUAUAAUUUAUUGGCGUGACUGGAUUUCCAGGUAAUGUCGAUUUUGUUCCUUUACACGUCUAUUUAUAGCAAAUUGUUUCCAAAAAUUAUGAAUUAAUCUUGAAUUUAAAUGUUGAGUUCAGAAUAAUGAAAUCACAAAGUUCUUGUGUUUUUUUACCUCCCUUUAAAGUCAAUUGAGGCUUGUACACUAAUGCAACUGUGCAAUACAUGGUUUGAAAAUCUGAACUUUUGAUAGUUCGGACUUAUAAAGUUUUGUAGUCUUGUUUCUGUUUCUUACUUCUUUUUUUACGAAAAACUAAUAAAGGAGACCUCAGCAUUUUCCUAAGAUCGUUUUAUCACCUUAAGAAAUAGUCAUCCGGUUUCUCCAAGCCAGAAGGAUGCAGGAAAAAACUUUUCUCAGUCAGCAGACCAAAAGACGAGCCAUCUUGUUUUGGAACAGUUUUCCUGACAAAUUCUUCUUCUUCUCCUCUUGGUCGCGGAACUUUUUAUUCAGUCAUUUGAAGAUUGGAGCUCUAACUUUUGCUCAUUUAAAAUUGUUCAGCAACUGCAAGUGUUUAAUAUAUUAAGUCAAUGCAGCAAUCAAUUUCACGCUUAUUUGGGUU